rnacentral:rRNA from 1 species
AAGCUCGUAGUUGAAUUUCGGGAUUAGUACGCUGGUCGUGCCUUCGGUAUGUACUGGUGUUACUGGUUCCUACCUUCUGACGAACCGUCAUGUCAUUAAUUUGGUGUGGCGGGGAAUCAGGACUGUUACUUUGAAAAAAUUAGAGUGUUUAAAGCAGGCUCGCGCUUGAAUACAUUAGCAUGGAAUAAUGAAAUAGGACGUUCGAUCCUAUUUUGUUGGUUUCUAGGAUUGACGUAAUGAUUAAUAGGGAUAGUUGGGGGCAUUAGUAUUCAAUUGUCAGAGGUGAAAUUCUUGGAUUUAUUGAAGACUAACUACUGCGAAAGCAUUUGCCAAGGAUGUUUUCAUUAAUCAAGAACGAAAGUUAGGGGAUCGAAGACGAUCAGAUACCGUCGUAGUCUUAACCAUAAACUAUGCCGACUAGGGAUCGGAUGAUGUUAUUUUUAAUGACUCAUUCGGCGCCUUACGGGAAACCAAAGUGUUUGGGUUCCGGGGGGAGUAUGGUCGCAAGGCUGAAACUUAAAGGAAUUGACGGAAGGGCACCACCAGGGGUGGAGCCUGCGGCUUAAUUUGACUCAACACGGGGAAA